UUUUUAAUAUAUAACAGAACAGUAAAAAUAAUGUUUGAAGGAAACAGUGGGUUUUUUGGGGGGGGUUCUGAUUUCUACUGAAAUGCAAUCACCAUUAAAAAUGGACUUUAUCUUAUUUACUGCAGAAUAUCUAACACAAGUAUUUUCUGGAAAAUGAGAAGUGCUCACUAAGUAUCUGUAGAAUGAAUCAGUGAUUAUUAAAGGAAGAUUGUGAACACAGACACCCCGGAGCACAGUGAUUAAACAGGUUAUCGCCAUGCCUCUUCUUCAUGCCUCCAGAUCCUUCAGCUCUGACGUUGGAUGGCAGCAACUAACAGCAGAGUCACUGAGAGGGAUGAGAUAGCUGAAUGCUUGGUACAUGAAACAAUGAAGAAGACCAUUGUCUUCUUGGUACAUGAAACAAUGAAGAAGACAAGUGUCCCAGUGGACAUUGCUGAUGAAAGAGGGUGGAGAUUGUCUACAGUGAAGACAGAUGAUCCAGCAGAGCAAAUCUUUGUCUCUUAUGAGCUCACCCUCUCCUGCUGUCUGUGCCACACCUGUAAUUAUAAUUAUGGCCCACUGCUCAGGGAUGCUGCAAUCCCUUCCUGCUGA
rnacentral:lncRNA from 1 species